GACGAACGCUGGCGGCGUGCUUAACACAUGCAAGUCGAACGGAAAGGCCCUGCUUUUGUGGGGUGCUCGAGUGGCGAACGGGUGAGUAACACGUGAGUAACCUGCCCUUGACUUUGGGAUAACUUCAGGAAACUGGGGCUAAUACCGGAUAGGAGCUCCUGCUGCAUGGUGGGGGUUGGAAAGUUUCGGCGGUUGGGGAUGGACUCGCGGCUUAUCAGCUUGUUGGUGGGGUAGUGGCUUACCAAGGCUUUGACGGGUAGCCGGCCUGGGAGGGUGACCGGCCACAUUGGGACUGAGAUACGGCCCAGACGCCUACGGGAGGCAGCAGUGGGGAAUAUUGCACAAUGGGCGGAAGCCUGAUGCAGCAACGCCGCGUGCGUGAUGACGGCCUUCGGGUUGUAAACCGCUUUCGCCUGUGACGAAGCGUGAGUGACGGUAAUGGGUAAAGAAGCACCGGCUAACUACGUG
rnacentral:rRNA from 1 species